GAAGAACGCAGCGAAAUGCGAUAAGUAAUGUGAAUUGCAGAAUUCAGUGAAUCAUCGAGUCUUUGAACGCACAUUGCGCCCCCUGGUAUUCCGGGGGGCAUGCCUGUCCGAGCGUCAUUGCCGCCCUCAAGCACGGCUUGUGUGUUGGGCCCCCGCCCCCCGGCUUCGGGGGGCGGGCCCGAAAGGCAGCGGCGGCACCGCGUCCGGUCCUCGAGCGUAUGGGGCUUCGUCACCCGCUCUGUAGGCCCGGCCGGCGCCCGCCGGCGACCCCAAUCAAUCUUUCCAGGUUGACCUCGGAUCAGGUAGGGAUACCCGCUGAACUUAAGCAUAUCAAUAAGCGGAGGA
rnacentral:misc_RNA from 1 species